GACGAACGCUGGCGGCGUGCCUAAUACAUGCAAGUCGAACGAGAGCGACCGGUGCUUGCCCUGGUCAAUCUAGUGGCGCACGGGUGAGUAACACGUGGGUAACCUGCCCAUCAGAGGGGGAUAACAUCCGGAAACGGAUGCUAAAACCGCAUAGGUCUUCGAGCCGCAUGGCUUGAAGAGGAAAAGAGGCGCAAGCUUCUGCUGAUGGAUGGACCCGCGGUGCAUUAGCUAGUUGGUGAGGUAACGGCUCACCAAGGCCGUGAUGCAUAGCCGACCUGAGAGGGUGAUAGGCCACAUUGGGACUGAGACACGGCCCAAACUCCUACGGGAGGCAGCAGUAGGGAAUCUUCCGCAAUGGACGCAAGUCUGACGGAGCAACGCCGCGUGAGUGAAGAAGGUUUUCGGAUCGUAAAACUCUGUUGUUAGAGAAGAACAAGUGCUAGAGUAACUGUUAGCGCCUUGACGGUAACUAACCAGAAAGCCACGGCUAACUACGUG
rnacentral:rRNA from 1 species